CAGUUGUCGCUUUCUUUCAACAGUGAUUCUCGCUUGAUAUCGUUGCGUCGUGUCGCUCCUUUGGUGUUCCUGUGGAUAUAGAUUUGAAAGAGGAUUAGCGGAUAUAAUAGAAACAUGGCUGAUAAUAAUGAGACACCCAAUAGUGAAAGAAACAGAGCAGUUCUACCGACUUCGUCUCGUGGCAUCACCAUCAUAGACAACAUAUUGAUAGUUCCGCCGAAAGCUGUUCAUUCCAGCACUUCCCGAUCAUCAUCUCCGCCAGCUUUUAUGUAUAUUAGUGCCCCCCUACAAUCAACAUCCACAGCAACGCAUUCUCGUCCUCACUCACAACCAGGAUCAACAAAACCUGCGAUUCCUCCUAAACCCAAAGUUCUUUCUGAUCCUGCUUCUGUUCCUAAACUUCCAAUGGCUCCAAAAACUAGCACAACAUUCAAACCUACAGUAGCACCAAAACCGGCAAUAGCAUCCAAACCACCAAUAGCAUCCAAACCACCAAUAGCACCUAAACCAUCAGUAUCUGCAACUGAUAUCGCAUAUUCAAAGAUGUAUCGAGAAGAAAGGAUUGAAAAGAAGAUUGACAUUGCUGUUAAAAUGCUGGAGAAGUUAUCACCGCAGGUUUCGAUGAUAAUGAACAACGUGUGUAGAAACUAAUAUACCGUCCCUAGGUCAUUUGAAGUAGACAGGAUAAGCGAUGAACAUAGCCUAAACAAAUUUGAACAAUCGUUACAAAAUGGUACGUAUAUGGUAAACCUAGUUUGUCAAAUCGUGCAUAUAUUAACGGAUGUCACAGAUUUUGACAAACGGUUAACAAUUGUUCUCGAUCUUUUUUUCGAAAAAGAUUUUUUGAAGAAAUGUUGCUGGACCGGAGAAGGCAAGCAGGGACCUAAAAUUUGCUUCUCGACACAUUGUCUCAACAAAUUGUUUUAAAAGAGCUUCCGCGUAAUCCCAAUGAUUUUUAAAAUGAUUGCUGGAAAACAAUGUUAUUGCAACAUAAAAGAGUUUAAAAUGAUGAUAACCAUCAUCGUGAAUUCUACCUCUAAGUAAUGCUAUGCUAAUAUGAUUGAGAAAUGUACGAUAUUCGGACCCCUUCCAAUAAGCUAAAUAUUUCAGUGGCCUCAUUGCCCUAUUUAUCUUUGCAGGUAACUUUGUCUUUGCUAGAAUUUUAGAAAUUUCCUCUCUAUCUUCUUCGUUCCACUUCGGAAACGGUGCUAAACUACCUUCGGCAUAUCCUUUUCCUAAUUUUGUUGCUAUUCCUAAAUGUAGUAAGUGUAAAUCGUCUGCUAUGCUUAAGAUCUUAAUAAAAUCUUUAUCUUUAAUAUCUAA